AAAAACUCUACUACACGUAGCACUUUCACUUUCAUUUGCUAGGAGAAGUCUACUGGCACUGGCCUAACGCAGGGGGGAGAAGAAGGUGAUGAGGAGUAAGCGAAAAGCCCAAAUAUGUUUUGGAUGUAUAGGUGUAAUUCUUCUGGUGAAUCCAUGAAUAGCUGGCGAAAGAGAGGCAUGAAUCAGACUCCAAAGAUCCAAGAAUACAGUUAUUUCCAUUCUUCUUCGAGG